rnacentral:misc_RNA from 1 species
UUUCCGUUGGUGAACCAGCGGAAGGAUCAUUACAGAGAUCAUGCCCUCACGGGUAGACCUCCCACCCUUUGUUAUACCUACCUUUGUUGCUUUGGCAGGCCGCCUUCGGGCUAUCGGCUUCGGCUGGUGCGUGCCCGCCAGAGGAUCCCUAAACUCUGAAUGUUAGUGUCGUCUGAGUACUAUUAAAUAGUUAAAACUUUCAACAACGGAUCUCUUGGUUCUGGCAUCGAUGAAGAACGCAGC